rnacentral:lncRNA from 1 species
GCACUUCAUCGAAUAUCAUUCAUAAAAUCAUCACAUGAUUAAAAUCAAAAGCACAGGAUAUGGAUCAUGUAUUAAGGUGUACAUUUUCUAAUAAAAGAAAUGCCGCUAAAUAUUUUAGACAUAUAAAAAAGAAUAGGUUUCAUAACUACAUCAUUUUUACUGGCGUCUUUCUUAAAAGCCAAGCAUUACAACAAUCACAUAGCAGAAAAAAAAGCAUAUUUUUUUUUAGUAUACAUGAUAAAUGGAAAUUUAGUAACCUACUAAGUGAUGAAAGAGUACCAAGACAAAUACUUAGUGCCACUUAAAAGUUCUUUACAUGAUAGCCCAAACACUCUAUAUUAUAUCAAAUUAACACAACCGGUCUAUGUGAAAUCAUGAUUCUUUGAAGUCAUAUAUUUAGAUCAACAUAGAACUAGAACAUUCUUUUAGCAAAUUUCCAUUAGUCAAAAAUUUGCAUCAAUGCAGAUUUACCAACACCAUGAAAGAGGCAUUAAGGCAUUAAGACCUGAUUAUACUCUUCUUCUAAAAAAUGAUAUAGACAAGGACAUUGAAUAUGGAAAAUUUUAUUUGCAAAGGCUACUUAAUUUUGCAAGUACUAGAUAACAUUUAAAUAUGGUGGAGAUUCCAAUGCUUACAUACAACAUUUAAAAGUUCUACAAAACUUAUCCAUCUCUUCAUCAACACAAAAUCAAUAUAAAACAAGAUCUGUCAAAUCCAAACAAAUUGUGAUAUCAGAAUAAUGAAUCAAAUAAUUAAUAACUCAAUCACAUAUCCACAUUGUAUACUCGACAAUAACCCAAUUAUUACAAUCUUCAAGGUAAUACAAGAUUCAUCAAUCACAAAAUACGACAAAUGAUAACAACUACUUGAACAAUGUAAAAUUGUUAAAAUAUUGCAAAUAUAUAGAUGGUUUUUUUUUGGUGGGGGAGGUUUCUCAAUCUUGAUAUUAAGAAAAAAAAAUUAAUAUAACAAAAAGAUUACACCUAUUGGAGGAAAUCUCUAAAACUUUUUUUAAAAAAGUAAAUUGUUAAUAAGAGGAAGCCAGGAAAUAAGAAAGCAUAUCCUUUUGUUCUUUCACUACUGUUAGAAAUUAUGGCUAUUCCUCAAAUUGCUAAGAUGAAAUGAUACUUCACGUGUAACGUUAGUUAAUUUACUUGGUCAGAGGAAGGCCAGGUAAAAAAUAUUAUCUAUGCCAAUUAAUAUGUAUUUUGUAAUAGUAACUUUUGAUCAAGGGCAACUUUACAAACUCUAGUAAAAAUAACAAUAAGUUUCCCAUAAAACUAUUGUCUAGACUUAAAAUAAGAUGCAACUUAUAUAAGUGCAUUAUCAUUUAUUCAACAAAGUCGAUAACAAAAUGUUUAAUGGACAGUGUGAGGUUCCUAUUAAAUGACAUAUUCAGUGAAAAAGUUUACAAGAAGCACCACAUAAGGUUUUCCAAGAUCAAAUGUUUUAUGUAACAAUAAACAUGGCGCGAAGAAGAAUAAGACAGAAUGUUUGCUCUGACAAAACCUAUAGAGAAUUUGACAAAAGGUUCGCGGAAAUUUUUAUAGAAACAUAUUUCAAGAUUUUAAAUUAAUGUCAUGGCCAAAAAAAGAAUAAAAGAUGUUACAAUUACAUGAAGGUUUAUGCCAAUAUUACACAAUAUGCUUCGAAGACACCUUGACAUAAUGUUUGGAGGCAUACUGUUCAAAAUUCUUCAUGAUAGUAAACGUGGUUUGGAAUGUUUUAGUAUCAAGAAGUUAUAAAAUUGAGAAAAUGUUAUUUUUUGGGUCGGCAUUGACAAAAUGUUAUAGCCAACUAGAUUUUGUGUUUCAAAAAUUGGUCGAAAAAAAAGAUAAGGUUUUGUCAUACUUUACAAACAAGCAAGACUACAAUGGGACCUUGGAGAGUAAGAGGCAAUGUUUACUAAUUCUUAGAAGCUUGAAAGUUCAACAACCAACUAGUGAAAAGAAUUGAAGUAAACUAUGAAAGGAUUGUUUUUAAAAUAAUUAGAUUUUAGUUAUCUUUUUGUCUAUUAUUAAUUUGGAUAACUUGUACAGGUCACAUAUGAGUACGAAAGGUGUCACCAGAGAAUAUUAACUUCUCACAUCCCACACAAGUUAAGAUUUAAGAAAUUCAUUCUUGCAAUGCUCUGUAACAAAUUAUAACAGUAAUUAAAUCACUUAGUUGUCUCGUUAUUUGUCCACAAAUAUUUGAAACUUGAAAUGUGUCAUCACCCAUAUCUUUCUUCAUUUUUAAUAUAACUACUGAUUGAGAUGAAAUGUUUGCUAAAAUAGUUAACCUAGCAUUCCACGCUACAAAUGUUUGUUUGAUAUUCAUAUACAUGAUAAAUGAAGAUAAUCAAAACAUUCUUUUGGAUUUCAACGAGCAUUGCUACCAAUAGUCUGAAAGAAAUCUUAAAGAUGAACCAUAUACCCUAUCCUUUCAUCUGUGGGCAACUUAAAUCGUAAGAAUAUUUAUUUCUUUUGUGAAUGUGGGAAAUUUAGAUCAGGACUACAUAAAGCCUCGGUCACAAUUCAGCUAUCAUUUACAUUGUCUUCCAAUCCAACCACAAACAUAAAGCACAUGUUAAAAUCACAACCUUUAACAAUAUAUUGUGCAUACUUAUUUUUUUGAUAAGUGUAUAGCAUGCUCCCUUGAACACCAUAUUGAGGCAUAUCAGUGUAUUCAAGAUCCAAAAAUAACCAUAAAAAAAACUAAUGAACCAAUCAAGUAAAGUGAACAUAAUCAAAGACAACUCUCCGAUUAAGAUUAUACAAUUUAAGACAUAACAAACAAUAAGAGGAAAUAAAUGAGUGGAUUAAUUAUAAUUAAAGUGAAAAAGGAAACAUACAUUGCAACAAAAAUUGAGGAUUCUUAUACACAAAUAAAAAGAUACGAUCGCCAUCAUAUACAUAUAUGGCAAAACAGAGAUGGUGAGACCACAUAUAAGCACAUCAAAGACUAUCUAUGCUAUAUGAAUUUAUAAGAGACAUCACAUUCAAUAUAAACUAAUUAAAAAGAAGAUAUUAAAGUUUUAGUGUGUUACCGAGAUUAGCCAAGGAAAUAUAGAGGUCGGAGCUGUCACAAUUGAAAUGGACUCGAGAAAAGGGGAACGAUUGAAAUAUACGAAGCUUGGUAACAAGUAAAGAAAAGGGCAAUGCAACCAACAAAUCUAGACUGUUGAUAAAUCAACGGAUAAGAUUUGUCAUUCCCACAAUGAAACAUUGCUGGCAAGUUAAAUUAUUAUAUUAGCCUUAUUUAAAUAUUUAAUAUUAAUAAUUUCAAUUUUAAUUAUUAUUAAUUAAUAAUUCAAAUUAAUUUUUUGAAAUUAAAUCUUAGGAAUAUCAUUUACUAAAAUAAGGAUACAAAAUACGAUUGGAUGAAUAUGUGUGCUUUUUUUUUUUCCCAUGUAUUUUAAUUUUUAAAAUAAAUAUAAGGAGAGUAUUAUUCUUAUGUUUAGCCAACCACUAGUCAACAAUUUGACGGAAACGAACAAAAUAAUGAUAACCAAUAUGAUUCAUUAAAAUUGAUCGUUGAGAGAUGAAUAAAAAUUCAGUGAAGUUGGAUUUUGAAAAAAGUUUAUCGAUUGACGGGAAAAAUCAAAUUAAAAAGAGCAAGGAUUAGCUGGGGUUGUGUGUGUGAGGGUAUAUUGUAUUUCCGUGUGCUGCCCCUGGCGGGGCCGUUAGAUUAGAUUGAAUAUAUGGCUAAGAUUAGUCCUCAUAUCUCACAUAGGUAUGUGGUUUCCAUUUGAGCACCUGCCUAUAUAUAUGCAUAUAUUCAUUCACAAAUAUGUUGUAACUAAUAUAAUUUUAUUUAAAAUUUUAUCAUAAUUGAAUUUUGACGGAACCCUUGUUCAAGAAAUAAGAUAGACACUAAUUCAUCUUUUGAAUAAUACCCAUUCAAAUCAUGAUUAUUUAAAUUCAUUUUUUCAUCUUUAACUAUGUCUUUAAAAAAUGUUAAUAUAAACUUCAUUGUCAAAAUUUGCUAGAAAGACGGGAAUGGUAGGAAAAAAGAAUUCAAUAGUAUUAUUUUUUUUUCCAAAAUAUAUCUGUUCUUAUAUUGGUAAAACAUAUUUAACACACCAAUUCUUAUUUUUACAUAAAACUUUAAACAAUAAGAUGCUCUCAGACUCCACCCAAUUAUUUUCGAAAUUCACAAUUGCCACACUAUUAUUGUUUAUCAUUAAUGGUGCAUAAUAUUAUCCAACAUGUUGAGCCAAGCACAUGGCUGAUCCAAUGGUGCCUGUCAACCUCCACAAACAAAUAUUAUCUAUCAAUUAAUAUAAUUAUCAAUUUGUUUGGGGCAUAUAUUAAACACUAAUAUAUUGUUUGGCAUUGUUGUUACAUGCUAUUUGUUGUCCUGUCACUGAUUCUUGUUAAACAUAAUACCCGCUUACUUAAUAUGAUUAUCACAUUUGAAUUUAAUUACUUUUAGCUUAGUAGUAAAAAAUAAUUUUGGUGUUGGUUCACCUUGUUGAUCAUGAUAAUUUUGUUAAAAUUAAUUUUUAGUUUGAUUAAAAUAAUUCAAAAUUCUGUAUACCAGAACAUGAUUGUGUGUCUGUGAAUUGGUGUUUGACUUACAUAGUGGCCAGCAUUAAGGAUUCAGUAGAAGUGUAAAUUCCUCAAGGACUUGAUGAACCCCUUUGUACCUUUCUCACCCCCACAGUACAAUGGACUUCUGUUCAUGCUUAAAAAAGUCUGUAGGCCUUCCCGCCUGAGAGUCCAGAGUAGUGAAGGAACAAAUCAUUUGGUGCAUGCAAAUGACUAAAUGAGUGCAUGCUAAGAGAGAUGACUUGCACAUGUAGGUACUGUCUAUCAAAAACUAGUGUCCCUUACUUUAGCUACCCAUGCUUCAGUUCCUUUGGUUGAACAGAUGAGAUCAAGCUACAACAUCCAACCAAACCAUAUCAUAAGCCGCGGACAAAAUUAUGGGCAUGGUGCCACAAUUACGGACAAAUUUUAAGCUAAUUUGAGGCGGGGACUGGGAAUUCUUGGAGAAAAAUCCUUACUUGUCCGCUGUAAUUUGUCACAUUGACUCCUUUUGCUAAAAGCUCAUCGACCUGUAUGCAACUUAAACGAAUAAACUGAGUGAUGGUUGAAUAGGUAAUUGCCUUGAUGUAGGAUUGGCAAACUUAAAAUGUCAGAAAAUAUGAAAAUUCAGUUCAAGAACAUAUGUGCACGUUUAGUACUAUUUUCCGAGUUCUAACUGAAUCCUGAUAAAACUAUAGAAUCUUUGAAGAUAUUGGCAUACCUCAUUGAUCCUUGGCUUCAUAAAAUUCUUAUGCAAGAGCAAUGAAAACAGAUCCUGCUUGCCCUCCCCAUCUGCGAAAAAGGAGGGGAAACCCCUUUGCUUACUUGCAGCAAAAAAAAAAGUGAUUUGCUAGUUCCAUAUAAAGGGGAGAAAAAGAACUCACUGCACAUCUUCUCGGAUUAUCUUAUGUUUUCUCUAAGAACGCCAUUCAUUCAAGUGUUUAGAUCAGCUUCACCGCCUGGCACAGACCUCAAAGAAGCCAAAUAUGUUGAGUUUCUUUUCGACUUGACUUUUUGAGAUAGUUCAACAGCUCUUGUGGAGAGAGGAUCAAGUGCAGAAUCCAAGAGGAAAUUGUAUAAAUCCUAAAUAUCCAGCAUAAAGCGGUGAAGUUUAUAGAAGUAAUAUAUUAGACCACUACAGAAGCAUAAGAAUACGCAAUGCAGAGGAAAAUAAAGUACCACAGAAUUACUGUAACCUACUCAAGUUCAAUCCAUGAAUUAGUUGCAGCUUCAUACUCUCCCUGAUCAAUGUGCUGCUUGAUUUUCUGAGUAAGACUGGUGUCCAAAAUAUUUCAGUGCAGAACAUAAAACUAACUCUAUAUAUAUUGCAGAAAACAUUAACAGACUAAACAGAAAUUAAUGAAGUUCAAGUAGACAUUUAUUCUCACUUGUUAGCUUUCUCUAUGCCUUUAUUGUCAAGCCUCAAAACAACUCUAAGAAGAGGAGCCCAUGAAAACUGCAAGUACCAAAUUGACUGAGUAAGAGUUCAAUGCAAUAAUAAGAACAGAUCAGUCAUUUAUUCAAAAAAAAAAAGGACAGAUCAUUCAAGAAAAUGCAAAAAUAGAGAAUAAGCAAAAAUAUUCAAAGAAUCAACACUAACUCUGAUCAGAUUAGGCAUUCGAUAUGCAAAAAAGAAAAAGAAAACUAUUAAUUGAUGUUUGCGCAUUAAUGCAUAAUCGUGAGAACCACAAGAAUCAGGGAUAAUGUAGUGACCAAACGUACAUUAUCCCUCAAGCAAGAUAAUUAGCAGAGUGAAUAAGAAAACAGUGCUAUUUGGCAAGACGGAAUCAAGAAAAGAUAACAAAAGAAUGAUCAGCCCUAACACCAAUCCUUUUAACAUCCGGGGAGCACAUAUGUCUCAAGUUUCAAUACAUUGAGAAAAGAACACCAGUCCUGAUUCCCCAAAAGUUUACAAAUCUUGUAUAACAUGUUUAAACUUAUACAAAUCAUGUUCAAAACAAUGAAUUGUCCCUGCUCGGACUUGGUUGAAAACAAGAUAUUCUUUAUCCAACAGGUUGUUCGUACCAUUCCUCCAAAAUUCCUCUACAAAAUCGUCGUCAUAUAUUGCCUGUCGCCAAUCCACGCCAACAGUUCUACAUCUUCUAUCAAGUUCGUCUAAAAAGAAAAGAGCUACAGAAGUCAUACUAAGGUAUCUUCGCACUGAAGAAUAUCUUGAUGGGUCUUCCCAAGUAUCUCUGAGCUCCCUGUAGGUGUCCUUAAACAAUUCUUUAUUCUUGACCAGUUUUUCCACUGCUUUGAUAUGAUGAGCACGUGAGACAAGAUAUUUGAUGAAGCCGAAUACGAGGCUAGAUUCUCCACAUUUGGUAAAGUACCUAAUAUAACUUUUUAGGAAUAUAUCCAUCUUAAUGAAGUCAUGAUGGCUUCCCUUGGACAAAAACAAUUUCACGAGCUGGUAAUGAACCAAUCUUGUCUGCGGAAAUCUACCAGCAGAUAAAUUUUCCGGCAAAAAGUAGGUCAAGAAAGAACAAGCUUUAUGGUCAGAACCGGGAACAUCUGUGGCAAGAAUAGAUUUAAUGUCACUAAGUUUUAAAUCAUCACAAGGAUGGCCAUCCCAUUCGACUUUUAGCCAUUCACUAACUCUCAGCUGCGAAGAGCUCACCAGUAUUACCUGUGUAGAAGUAACACGAAUCAGGCUCCUUAGUAGGCUAGUAUACAUCUUCGUUUUUAAGUUUAAGUGUGAAGAAAGAUCAAAUACAAUGUGGUUUAGAAGGCAGGAUUACUGUUGAUGAAUAAACUUCACUCAGAGAACAAAAACAAGAUUAAACAAUUAAAUUACCUUUCCGAGCAAAAAGCGAGCAGCUUCAUUUCCAGCUCCCGAACAUUUAAUUAGUAGACUGUUAAGGUUCUGAUAUCGAUAAAAGUUCUUAAAUUCCAUCUCAAGGUCAAAGUUGACGAGCUUAAGGAUGUGCUCGUCUUCUGCAAACAAAAGAAACUGCCUGCAACUGCAACAAAAAAUGUACAAAGAUAAUUUAGGGACCUUGUGUAUGUAAAUAUGUACACGAAGGCUAAAUCAAUCUAAAAAAUUUGCAACUUCUCAGAAAUGCCUGCAUUUGAUUAAUAACAUAUUCACUAGAACGACGGUGAACAAAACAUCACAGAAUUGUAUUCAAAGUACAACUAAGAAGGUGGAGCAGCCUCAAUAUGCUACAAUUGUGUCUCGUGCAUAUUGCUCAAAACGAGAUUAAAGAAAUGUAAGCCCAACCAACAUUUUUUUACCAAGAAGGCAGAAGAAGCCACAUGUGUGGCUUGCUCAGCUAUGCUACCUACGUGAGCAUUGUCUGAAUUGUAAUUGACCUAUCAGGCCAUCACCCUUACAAAAAUGAUACAUCUCAAAAAAUGUGGUAGCCAACCAGAGGAUAUCGACUGGGAAGAGAGCCCACCCUAUUUGCUCAGCAGUAAAGGGUGGUCCAACCCCAAAUAUGUAUAAAUUCUUUUAUACUUAUAAAAUUUAUGAAUAGAGGAAACCCUUUAAUUCUUUGUCACAAGCUUUUCAAAAAUAUUGCUCAAUGCCUCCGUGACCCACAGAAAAAUUGAACAAACACAACUAGCACUAAGUAAUAAGCAAAAAAUUCUUAACGAACUCUAUUUGACUAACACAGAACUAAUCUAGUAAUGAAUAAGUAAUUAUUAAGGAUUAUAAUACCGAACUUUGUGUACCAGAAUUUCAUAAAAGUACUACCUUAUUCUAAUUCGUCAUUGUUAUGAAAUUAGGCAACCAAUCAGAAAUGUAGGAAAAAACAUUGAAAAAUGGCAUGAUAAGUGAAUAACGGCAAUGGUAAGUGGAGCUUUAUAACAGAUUCACAUAAUAUACAAAUAUUUUAGACUUGGAAGGCUUAGAAUGUAAUUGUCCUACAAGGAUAUGAUCCUUGCAAAUGCAUUCACAUAAUAUACAAAUACUUUAGACUUGGAAGGCUUAGAACGUAAUUGUCUUACACAGAUAUGAUCCUUGCAAAUGCAACCGCUCCGCCUGGUGACUGCACCAACAAAAGUAUAAUAUAAUACAGUAGCUCAUACGGCAGCUGUUCCAUUGUUGCCAUUUCCUAUGCAGUUCAAGCUGGAAGUAAAAAUGAUUCAUAAGACCUCACAUCACCACAUUAACAGAUGAAGAGCACUUGCAUUCAGAAACUAAUACAAAUAUUAUGGCAAUUUAUCGAAUAUCAAUCAUAAAAUCAUCACAUGAUUAGAAUCAAAAGCACAAGAUAUGGAUCAUGUAUUAAGGUAUAGCAUGCUCCCUUAAACACCAUAUUGAGGCACAUCAGUGUAUUCAAAAUCCACAAAUAACCAUAAAAAAAAAACUAAUGAAGUAUAGUGAACAUAUUCAAAGACAGCUCUACGAUUAAGAUUCUACAGUUUACAACAUAACAAACAAUAAGAGGAAAUAAAUGAGUGGAUUAAUUAUAAUUAAGUGAAAAAGGAAACAUACGUUGCAACAAAAAUUGAGGAUUUUUAUAAACAAAUAAAAAGAUACGAUCCCCAUUAUAUACAUAUAUGGCAAAACAGAGACGGUGAGACCACAUAUAAGCACAUCAAAGACGUUCUAUACUAUAUGAAUUUAUAAGAGACAUCACAUUCACUAUAAACUAAUUAAAAAGAAGAUGUUAAAGUUUUAGUGUGUUACCGAGAUUAGCCAAGGAAAUAUAGAAUUCGGAGCUUUCACAAUUGAAAAUGGACUCGAGAAAAGGGGAACAAUAGAAAUACACGAAGCUUGGUAACAAGUCAAGAAAUGGGCAAUCCAACCAACAAAUCUAGACUGUUGAUAAAUCAACGGAUAAGAUUUGUCAUACCCACAACGAAACAUUGCUGGCAAGUGAAAUUAUUAUAUUAGCCUUAUUUAAAUAUUUAAUAUUAAUAAUUUCAAUUUUAAUUAUUUUUAAUUAAUAAUUCAAAUUAUUUUUUUGAAAUUAAAUCUUAGGAAUAUCAUUUACUAAAAUAAGGAUACGAAAUACGAUUGGAUGAAUAUGUGUGCUUUUUUUUUCCCCAUGUAUUUUAAUUUUUAAAAUAAAUAAAAGGAAAGUAUUAUUCUUAUGUUUAGCCAACCACUAGUCAACAAUUUGACGGAAAUGAACAAAAUAAUGAUAAGCAAAAUGAAUCAUUAAAAUUGAUCGUUGAGAGAUGAAUAAAAAUUCAGUGAAGUUGGAUUUUGAAAAAAGUUUAUCGAUUGACGGGAAAAAUCAAAUUAAAAAGAGCAAGGAUUAGCUGGGGUUGUGUGUGUGAGGGUAUAUUGUAUUUCCGUGUGCUGCCCCUGGCGGGGCCGUUAGAUUAGAUUGAAUAUAUGGCUAAGAUUAGUUCUCAUAUCUCACAUAGGUAUGUGGUUUCCAAUUGAGCACCUGCAUAUAUAUAUAUGCAUAUAUUCAUACACAAAUAUGUUGUAACUAAUAUAAUUUUAUUUAAAAUUUUAUCAUAAUUGAAUUUUGACGGAACCCUUGUUCAAGAAAUAAGAUAGACACUAAUUCAUCUUUUGAAUAAUACCCAUUCAAAUCAUGAUUAUUUAAAUUCAUUUUUUCAUCUUUAACUAUGUCUUUAAAAAAUGUCAAUAUAAACUUCAUUGUCGAAAUUUGCUAGAAAGAUGGGAAUGGUAGGAAAAAAGAAUUCAAUAGUAUUAUUUUUUUUCCAAAAUAUAUCUGUUCUUAUAUUGGUAAAACAUAUUUAACACACCAAUUCUUAUUUUUACAUAAAACUUUAAAUAAUAAGAUGCUCUCAGACUCCACCUAAUUAUUUUCGAAAUUCACAAUUGCCACUAUUAUUGUUUAUCAUUAAUGGUGCAUAAUAUUAUCCAACAGGUUGAGCCAAGCACAUGGCUGAUCCAAUGGUGCCUGUCAACCUCCACAAACAAAUAUUAUUUAUCAAUUAAUAUAAUUAUCGAUUUGUUUGGGGCAUAUAUUAAACACUAAUAUAUUGUUUGGGAUUGUUGUUACAUGCACUAACAACAGCUUUUUGCCCUGGAAGUAGUUGAAAAACUGUUUGACAAACGUAAAAAUAGUUUUGCUAAACAACUUUUUAUAACUCAAAGCCGAAAGCUAUCAUAGAUUUCACUGUCAAAACUCUUCAAAAAUAUUAUUUUUUAUAUUAUAACUCAAAAUAUGCAAAUAUCAAAAAAAAAAUUGUCAAACCGCGAUCUCAUUUCUACAACUACACUUAUUCUGACAGCACAACAACUUUUAACAGCACUCCCAAACAACCCUUAAAUUCUAUACAUUUAGCUUAUUUUGACUGAUUUAGUGUUUGUACAUGUAGGGAUCCACCAUUAUUAAGAAGUGACAACCAAUCAAAAUAAGUUAAACUUAUAAAAUGCAGUGGACACACACUGAAAAAAACGUAUAAUAAUUAUCAUAAUAAACAUUCGUGCUCUUAUCACACAUUGCUAUUUGUUGUCCAGUCACUGAUUCUUGUUAAACAUAAUACCCGCUUACUUAAUAUGAUUAUCACAUUUGAAUUUAAUUACUUUUAGCUUAGUAGUAAAAAAUAAUUUUGGUGUUGGUUCACCUUGUUGAUCAUGAUAAUUUUGUUAAAAUUAAUUUUUAGUUUGAUUAAAAUAAUUCAAAAUUCUGUAUACCAGAACAUGAUUGUGUGUCUGUGAAUUGGUGUUUGACUUACAUAGUGGCCAGCAUUAAGGAUUCAGUAGAAGUGUAAAUUCCUCAAGGACUUGAUGAACCCCUUUGUACCUUUCUCACCCCCACAGUACAAUGGACUUCUGUUCAUGCUUAAAAAAGUCUGUAGGCCUUCCCGCCUGAGAGUCCAGAGUAGUGAAGGAACAAAUCAUUUGGUGCAUGCAAAUGACUAAAUGAGUGCAUGCUAAGAGAGAUGACUUGCACAUGUAGGUACUGUCUAUCAAAAACUAGUGUCCCUUACUUUAGCUACCCAUGCUUCAGUUCCUUUGGUUGAACAGAUGAGAUCAAGCUACAACAUCCAACCAAACCAUAUCAUAAGCCGCGGACAAAAUUAAGGGCAUGGUGCCACAAUUACGGACAAAUUUUAAGCUAAUUUGAGGCGGGGACUGGGAAUUCUUGGAGAAAAAUCCUUACUUGUCCGCUGUAAUUUGUCACAUUGACUCCUUUUGCUAAAAGCUCAUCGACCUGUAUGCAACUUAAACGAAUAAACUGAGUGAUGGUUGAAUAGGUAAUUGCCUUGAUGUAGGAUUGGCAAACUUAAAAUGUCAGAAAAUAUGAAAAUUCAGUUCAAGAACAUAUGUGCACGUUUAGUACUAUUUUCCGAGUUCUAACUGAAUCCUGAUAAAACUAUAGAAUCUUUGAAGAUAUUGGCAUACCUCAUUGAUCCUUGGCUUCAUAAAAUUCUUAUGCAAGAGCAAUGAAAACAGAUCCUGCUUGCCCUCCCCAUCUGCGAAAAAGGAGGGGAAACCCCUUUGCUUACUUGCAGCAAAAAAAAAAGUGAUUCGCUAGUUCCAUAUAAAGGGGAGAAAAGAACUCACCGCACAUCUUCUCGGAUUAUCUUAUGUUUUCUCUAAGAACGCCAUUCAUUAAAGUGUUUAGAUCAGCUUCACCGCCUGGCACAGACCUCAAAGAAGCCAAAUAUCUUGAGUUUCCUUUCGACUUGACUUUUUGAGAUAGUUCAACAGCUCUUGUCGAGAGAGGAUCAAGUGCAGAAUCCAAGAGGAAAUUGCAGAAAUCCUAAAUAUCCAGCAUAAAGCGGUGAAGUUUAUAGAAGUAAUAUAUUAGACCACUACAGAAGCAUAAGAAUACGCAAUGCAGAGGAAAAUAAAGUACCACAGAAUUACUGUAACCUCCUCAAGUUCAAUCCAUGAAUUAGUUGCAGCUUCAUACUCUCCCUGAUCGAUGUGCUGCUUGGAUUUCUGAGUACGACUGGUGUCCAAAAUAUUUCAGUGCAGAACAUAUAACUAACUCUAUAUAUAUUGCAGAAAACAUUAACAGACUAAACAGAAAUUAAUGAAGUUCAAGUAGACAUUUAUUCUCACUUGUUAGCUUUCUCUAUGCCUUUAUUGUCAAGCCUCAAAACAACUCUAAGAAGAGGAGCCCAUGAAAACUGCAAGUACCAAAUUGACUGAGUAAGAGUUCAAUGCAAUAAUAAGAACAGAUCAGUCAUUUAUUCAAAAAAAAAAAAAGGACAGAUCAUUCAAGAAAAUGCAAAAAUAGAGAAUAAGCAAUAAUAUUCAAAGAAUCAACACUAACUCUGAUCAGAUUAGGCAUUUGAUAUGCAAAAAAGAAAAAGAAAACUAUUAAUUGAUGUUUGCGCAUUAAUGCAUAAUCGUGAGAACCACAAGAAUCAGGGAUAAUGUAGUGACCAAACGUACAAUAUCCCUCAAGCAAGAUAAUUAGCAGAGUGAAUAAGAAAACAGUGCUAUUUGGCAAGACGGAAUCAAGAAAAGAUAACAAAAGAAUGAUCAGCCUUCCAAUCCUUUUAACAUUCGGGGAGCACAUAUGUCUCAAGUUUCAAUACACUGAGAAAAGAACACCAGUCCUGAUUCCCCAAAAGUUUACAAAUCUUGUAUAACAUGUUUAAACUUAUACAAAUCAUGUUCAAAACAAUGAAUUGUCCCUGCUCGGACUUGGUUGAAAACAAGAUAUUCUUUAUCCAACAGGUUGUUCGUACCAUUCCUCCAAAAUUCCUCUACAAAAUCGUCGUCAUAUAUUGCCUGUUGCCAAUCCACGCCAACAGUUCUACAUCUUCUAUCAAGUUCGUCUAAAAAGAAAAGAGCUACAGAAGUCAUCCUAAGGUAUCUUCGCACUGAAGAAUAUCCUGAUGGGUCUUCCCAAGUAUCUCUGAGCUCCCUGUAGGUGUCCAUAAACAAUUCUUUAUUCUUGACCAGUUUUUCCACUGCUUUGAUAUGAUGAGCACGUGAGACAAGAUAUUCGAUGAACCCGAAUACGAGGCUAGAUUCUCCACAUUUGGUAAAGUACCUAAUAUAACUUUUUAGGAAUAUAUCCAUCUUAAUGAAGUCAUGAUGGCUUCCCUUGGACAAAAACAAUUUCACGAGCUGGUAAUGAACCAAUCUUGUCUGCGGAAAUCUACCAGCAGAUAAAUUUUCCGGCAAAAAGUAGGUCAAGAAAGAACAAGCUUUAUGGUCAGAACCGGGAACAUCUGUGGCAAGAACAGAUUUAAUGUCACUAAGUUUUAAAUCAUCACAAGGAUGGCCAUCCCAUUCGACUUUUAGCCAUUCACUAACUCUCAGCUGCGAAGAGCUCACCAGUAUUACCUGUGUAGAAGUAACACGAAUCAGGCUCCUUAGUAGGCUAGUAUACAUCUUUGUUUUUAAGUGUCAGUGUGAAGAAAGAUCAAAUACAAUGUGGCAGGAUUACUGUUGAUUAAUAAACUUCACUCAGAGAACAAAAACAAGAUUAAACAAUUAAAUUACCUUUCCGAGCAAAAAGCGAGCAGCUUCAUUUCCAGCUCCCGAACAUUUAAUUAGUAGACUGUUAAGGUUCUGAUAUCGAUAAAAGUUCUUAAAUUCCAUCUCAAGGUCAAAGUUGACGAGCUUAAGGAUGUGCUCGUCUUCUGCAAACAAAAGAAACUGCCUGCAACUGCAACAAAAAAUGUACAAAGAUAAUUUAGGGACCUUGUGUAUGUAAAUAUGUACACGAAGGCUAAAUCAAUCUAAAAAAUUUGCAACUUCUCAGAAAUGCCUGCAUUUGAUUAAUAACAUAUUCACUAGAACGACGGUGAACAAAUCAUCACAGAAUUGUAUUCAAAGUACAACUAAGAAGCUGGAGCAGUCUCAAUAUGCUACAAUUGUGUCUCGUGCAUAUUGCUCAAAACGAGAUUAAAGAAAUGUAAGCCCAACCAACAUUUUUUUACCAAGAAGGCAGAAGAAGCCACAUGUGUGGCUUGCUCAGCUAUGCUACCUACGUGAGCAUUGUCUGAAUUGUAAUUGACCUAUCAGGCCAUCACCCUUACAAACAUGAUACAUCUCAAAAAAUGUGGUAGCCAACCAGAGGAUAUCGACUGGGAAGAGAGCCCACUCAGAUAAGCGAUCAGUAAAAGGAGUCUAUUUGCUCAGCAGUAAAGGGUGGUCCAACCCCAAAUAUGUAUAAAUUCUUUUAUACUUCUAAAAUUUAUGAAUAGAGUAAACCCUUUGAUUCUUUGUCACAAGCUUUUCAAAAAAAUUUGCUUAAUGCCUCCGUGACCCACAGAAAAAUCGAACAAACACAACUAGCACUAAGUAAUAAGCAAAAAAUUCUUAAAGAACUCUAUUUGACCAACACAGAACUAAUCUAGUAAUGAAUAAGUAAUUAUUAAGGAUUAUAAUACCGAACUUUGUGUACCAGAAUUUCAUAAAAGUACUAACUUAUUCUAAUUCGUCAUUGUUAUGAAAUUAGGCAACCAAUCAGAAAUGUAGGAAAAAACAUUAAAAAAUGGCAUGAUAAGUGAAUAACGGCAAUGGUAAGUGGAACUUUAUAACAGAUUCACAUAAUAUACAAAUAUUUUAGACUUGGAAGGCUUAGAACGUAAUUGUCUUACAAGGAUAUGAUCCUUGCAAAUGCAUUCACAUAAUAUACAAAUACUUUAGACUUGGAAGGCUUAGAACGUAAUUGUCUUACACAGAUAUGAUCCUUGCAAAUGCAACCGCUCCACCUGGUGACUGCACCAACAAAAGUAUAAUAUAAUACAGUAGCUCGUACGGCAGCUGUUCCAUUGUUGCCAUUUCCUAUGCAGUUCAAGCUGGAAGUAAAAAUGAUUCAUAAGACCUCACAUCACCACAUUAACAGAUGAGGUGCACUUGCAUUCAGAAACUAAUACAAAUAUUAUGGCACUUCAUCGAAUAUCAAUCAUAAAAUCAUCACAUGAUUAGAAUCAAAAGCACAAGAUAUGGAUCAUGUAUUAAGGUAUAGCAUGCUCCCUUAAACACCAUAUUGAGGCACAUCAGUGUAUUCAAAAUCCACAAAUAACCAUAAAAAAAAAACUAAUGAAGUAUAGUGAACAUAUUCAAAGACAGCUCUACGAUUAAGAUUCUACAGUUUACAACAUAACAAACAAUAAGAGGAAAUAAAUGAGUGGAUUAAUUAUAAUUAAGUGAAAAAGGAAACAUAUGUUGCAACAAAAAUUGAGGAUUUUUAUAAACAAAUAAAAAGAUACGAUCCCCAUUAUAUACAUAUAUGGCAAAACAGAGACGGUGAGACCACAUAUAAGCACAUCAAAGACGUUCUAUACUAUAUGAAUUUAUAAGAGACAUCACAUUCACUAUAAACUAAUUAAAAAGAAGAUGUUAAAGUUUUAGUGUGUUACCGAGAUUAGCCAAGGAAAUAUAGAAUUCGGAGUUUUCACAAUUGAAAAUGGACUCGAGAAAAGGGGAACGAUAGAAAUACACGAAGCUUGGUAACAAGUCAAGAAAUGUGCAAUCCAACCAACAGAUCUAGACUGUUGAUAAAUCAACAGAUAAGAUUUGUCAUACCCACAAUGAAACAUUGUUGGCAAGUGAAAUUACUAUAUUAGCCUUAUUUAAAUAUUUAAUAUUAAUAAUUUCAAUUUCACUUAUUUUUAAUUAAUAAUUCAAAUUAAUUUUUUGAAAUUAAAUCUUAGGAAUAUCAUUUACUAAAAUAAGGAUAUGAUUGGAUGAAUAUGUGUGCUUUUUUUUUUCCAUGUAUUUAAAAUUUUACAAUAAAUAAAAGGAAAGUAUGAUUCUUAUCUUUAGCCAACCACUAGCCAACAAUUGACGGAAAUGAACAAAAUAAUGACACCCGCACUGAUUCAUUGUAGAGAUAAGAGUGUUAAAUGACCAACUCUCCCAAAACCUUAAGGUAUUAGGAGGAGAGCUUGCUAGGAUCGUAUUAUAUUAUAACAUUUUUCCUCACUUGAAAGCCCCUUUUUGGGUCAAGAAUGGAACAUGGGCGCCCACCUUUGGUGCAUUACUUUGCCUUCAUGUCCAUAAUAAACUAUGAGAAUAUUGGGGAUCGUAGAGAGUCGAAUCCGAGUCUCCCGCGAGCCUAGACUCUGAUACCAUCUUAAAUGACGAACUCUCCCAAAAUCUCAAGGUGUUAGGAGGAGGGCUUACUAAAAUCGUAUUAUAUUCUAACAAAAAGUACCCUCAAUAUUUCAUUGUAGGUAGGAAUAUCACCUACUUUGAAACAAUGUGAGGUUGAUUAUAUUAAUUAUGCAUAGGCUUGAGUACAAACGAACCAAAACCGAAUUAUUUUGGUUUUCUAAAAUACUAUAUUUUUUCUAAUAAAAAUUAAUUCGGUUUUUUAAUAACCUGAACCGAAUUAUUUUGGUUCAGUUUCGGUUUCGUUCGAAAGCUAAUUCAUUUCGGGGUUUUUAAUUAUUUAAUACUUUGUGAAUAAUACCUACAAUUAAAUAAUAAAGCAAUAAAUAAUAGUCCUAUUAGCGUUUUAGAUUGGAAAUAUUGAUAAGUACUCCCUCCGUUUCUUUUUUCUUUUCUUGUUUGUGAUGUCGGUACUGUUCAUAACAUGAGACAAAUUACUAAUUUACAUCUAAUCUAUAAAACUAAAUAUAGUCAUGAGUGAUCUUGUUAGAUUCGUAUUCACGAGUACUUUAAUACAGUGAAGUUUUUAUAUUUAAUGCUACUACGAAAUGAAAGAUAUUAACGAUUAAAAGUGUGUGUUGGCAAACGUGAAAAGUACAAACAGGAAAAGUAUUUAGAGACGGAGGGAGUAGCACCUUACCUUCAAGUUCAUUAAGGCUAAUGUAUCUUGGUGAUGAUCUCUCUGCCAAAAGUAACAAGAAGUAUUAGUGAUAAUAAAGUAGAUAACUUACAAAUAUAUAUCUACAAGAGCAUUUUGUAAAGGAGCAUGAAAUGUACACAAGAACAUGUGUUUAAUAUAGGAGCAUGAUCUCCUUAUGUCAACCCUACAGGUCAAAGACUUAACAUUUUCUAGUGCUAUAGACUACACAACUUUACACCAACUGGCAACUGAUAUAGUUAAAAAGAAUAUGGGGGCAUAGCCAAGUCAAUGAACCAAAUUUUACAAAGUCAUUUUAACAAUUACUGCUGGAAAUAAAAAUGAAUGCCAAUCACUACGUACCUUGCAAAUAUUUACAUAAAUUGCAAGAAUAUAAUGCUAGAAUAGUCUUAUGUGUUCAUUACAAGACACUAGUAGGCAUAUAGGAACAAAUCAAAUUGAACAUUUUACAUGAAAUGGGAAACAAAAUAUUUCUAGGUCUCUCUGUGACAAAAUAACGAAGAACUUCAUCACUCUUCCCACUUAGAUGCUCUAAAUGGUGGAGAUUUCGGAGUGAAAUUCCCUAUAGUGCCUAUCAUAUGAAGCUCUAUCCCCAUCAUUUGAGGAAGUGGCAGAAGUGGAGACGAUGGAAAAAGAUGAAAGGGAAGUGGUGGAGUUCUUCUUAACCCUAAAACCGAGCAAAAGACGAUCCAAGCAAGAGUAACCACAUUAACAAAUAAUGCCUAACAAAAUAAUAAACCAAUGCAUAUGUCAUAACCAGAUGAAUUUACCUUCAUUUUCAUUAAGAGCAUCUCCAAUAACCUCUUAAAUAAGCUCUUAAGACCAGAAACAAGGAGCAUGAAAAAAAAUAGAGCCUUGAUAGACUUUGGUGGCUUCUAAAAACACUACGAGCCUCUUCUAUCUCCUCUCUUUCAAGAGCCGCUACAUGACUCUUGGCUUUUAUAAUAUAAUAUUCACUCUCACCCCAUUUGAGUUUGAAUUUUUCUCACCCAUUUGAAUUUGAAUUUUUCUCGUAGUGAAGUUCAAAUAAUAGUAGGAGUGAGUAUAAAGACAUGGGUGCCGGUCUCUCGCAGUCGACUGCCAGGGCCGGUUUAACGGGCAUAUCAUCUGAGUCGUUGGAUGAAUAUCCAGCGACCAGGAUUAUAACAAAAGUUUAAUACAUCUCGCGCUUUUUUAACCGCCGGAAACGGUUAAAAAGCCCUAGACGAGGCCUGUCUAGCAUUUUUUAAGCACUGGUCAUAUAAAAAACCUAUGUUAUAAUCUGGGCAUAUUCAUCAAACGGCACAGAAAAGUGACGCUGGUUAAACGUCCAUGGCAGUCGAGUGCCACGGUAAUAUACUAACUUGCUAGUUGCUAGGAGCUUAAUAUUUACCGGGAGACUAUUGGAGAUGCCCAAACGAAAUACAUUAGAAAAGGGUUAAUAGGCAAAAAAAUCACCGAACUCAUGAUCAAGUUGCAAUUGGGUCACUGAACUCAAAAAGUUUGCAAACGGAUCACAGAACUGGAUUUAACUUGCAGUCAACUCACUGAACUAAUAAAAAUUUGCAUUUAGGUCACUGUGCCGUUAAGUAUCAGUUGACUUUAACGGAAUCCGUUAAUAAAAAUUGAAAAAAUAUAAAAAUUCGCUUUUUUAAAAACUCGAUUUUGAAAAUUUAAAACUUCGAAAAAAUCUGGAAAUUUGGAAAAAGUCUGAAUUUUUUUUAACUUCAGAAAUUUAGGUAUAUUUUUUGAAUUUCCAGAUUUUUUUGAAUUUUUUUCAAAAUUUUUAGAUUUUUUUCGAAGUUUUUACAUUUUUCUUAUUUUUUAAAAACAUUCUAUAUUUUUUAAAGUUUCUUCAAAAUUUUCAGAUUUUUUUUAAGUUUUCAGAAUUUUUUGAGAAAAUUGAAUUUUUAUAUUUUUUUCAAAUUUUUUAUAUUUUUUAUUAUUAUCUUUAACGGAUUCCGUUAAAGUCAACUCAUUCUUAACGGCACAGUGACCUAAAUGCAAGUUUUUAUUAGUUCAGUGAGUUGACUGCAACUUAAAUUUAGUUCUGUGAUCCGUUUGCAAACUUUUUGAGUUCAAUGACCCAACUGCAAGUUGGCCAUGAGUUCAGUGAUGUUUUUGCCUAUUAACCCCAUUAGAAAAGCUCAGUUCUGCUAGUUUAAACACGGGGAUGUGCGCUUGAAGCAUUUGUAAGUUGAAAGGAAAGAGCUGAAGAAAAAUAAAACAUGCAAUGUAGAUGAUCAAGACGAAGAAUUACAACAGAAUAUGUUACCUCGUAAAUUCGUAAUUGAAUUGAAUACAUAAGUAGACGAAGGAUCUACAUUAGGGUUUAUAGACCAUGAAUUAGAGAACUUGUCGAUAUCUUUUUUAUUUUUUUUGACGGAAUAUCUUUUUUAUUUUUGUUAAAGUUAUAAACGGGAACUAUAAAGUUGUCGUACAAAAAAAUCAUCAAUCAUCAAUCAAUCAUCGAUACAAAUGAGAAGCGGCGUAUAGGUGGCGCCUCUCAGAAAGCUGAGUUCUAUAUUUAUAAUUUUCUGGAAUUUUUGGAAGGAGGAGCGUGUGGCGUAUAAUGGCGCCUCUCAGAGAGCUCUGUUCUAUUUUACUAAUUUUCUGGAAUUUUUGGAUGAAAAAAUUUAAAAAAAAAAUUACUUUUUUUAGUUUCAGAUAUAUUGGAAGAAAGUUUCAGAACUUAGUUUUGAAACUAUCAUCAUAUUUUUGGAAAAAGUGUUUAUCAAAAACCAAAAGAAUUUUUGAUAAGCCGUUUUUGAACAUAUUUGUCUUUUUUAUCUAAUACAAUAAUGAGUUACACUAGAUGUUUUGAAUAACGAUAGAGAUGAUUGGCUAACAAGAGUAAGAGUUUGUUGGAUGUGGGAGUCGACAAAUCGAAACACUAAAGAACAAUAAAGUCUAUAUAUGAUAUUGAUGGAUGAAAAGGUCAAUAAAUUAGCUGUUAUUGAUACAUGUUUAUUAGUUAUAUUUUUAUAAUAUUUGUUUUCUUUAUCGAACAUGUUUGUUGUUAUUAAUUUUUAUAUGGUUCAUUUUGUAUACAUGAAAAUAUCAUUCAUGCAACACAUGAUUAGUGUUCAGAUCAUGAUUAGUGUUCUGAAUUAAUCACAGAUAUUAAUUUUAUAUUAUCAAUAUAAUUUUUAUAAUCCGCCUCAACGCGCGGUUUCUUAACUAGUUGAAUAAAUAAGAAAAUCUUAUUAUGAUUGGCUGGCCUCCUAGUACAUAAUUCAAAAUAGAUUUUCAAAUUUACAUAUAGAUUGAUUAUAUUUUUGUUAGAUGUUCUGUAACAAUAUUUUCAAAAUUUAAAAAUCGAUUGAUUGUAUUUUUAUUAAAAAUUAUUUUUUACAAUAUUUUCAAAUCGUAAAUAGAUAUUUACAAUAAUAUAUAUUUGUAUUAUCAAUCAAAAACUUUUUUAUUUAAAAAAUUUAUCAUACUUGAACUUUGACGGGAUCCUUGUAUAAGAAAUAAGAAAAACACUAAUUUCUUUUGGGAACGAUAUCCAUUAAAUCAGAAUUAUCUAAAUUCAUAAUUUUGUUAUCUCUGACUAUGUAUUUAAGAAAAAUGUCAAUAUUGCUCUCAAAAAAAAAUGUCAAUAUAAACUUCUUUAUUGAAAUUUGAUAGAAAGAUGACAAUGGCAAGAAAAAGAAAUUCAAUAAUUUCCGAAAAUAUAUGUUCUUAGGUUGAAAAGUAAUAUAUUUGAAAUAUUGAUUCUUAUUUUAUUUAAAAUUUAAAUAAUAAGAUGCUCUCGGCUUCUCAGCUUACAUCCAAUUAUUUUAGAAACUCACAAUCACCAUAUUAUUAUUGUUUCUCAUCAAAAGUGCAUAAUGUUAUCCAACAUGUCUAGCGAAACACAUGGUUGAUCCAAUGGUACCUGUCAGCUAGAAACAAAUGCUCUAUCAACUAAUAUAAAAAUAUAAUUAUUAUGAUAAUACGAAUUCACUAAUUUUCAUUAAAACAGUACCCGCUUACUUAAUAUCAUAUUGUCUAGCGAAACACAUGGUUGAUCCAAUGGUACCUGUCAGCUAGAAACAAAUGCUCUAUCAACUAAUAUAAAAAUAUAAUUAUUAUCAUAAUACGAAUUCACUAAUUUUCAUUAAAACAGUACCCGCUUACUUAAUAUCAUAUCAUAUUUGAAUAAAUUAUCUAUAAUUUGGUAGUAAAAAAAUAAUUUUGGUGCUAGUUCACCUUGUUGAUCAUGAUAAUAUUGUUUAAAUCAGUUUUUGUCAUGCAAAUUUCGUUCAGUUUUACUAACAUAAUUAGUGUUUUCUUUAUCAGAACAUGACUGUGUCUGUGAAUUGGUGUUUGACUUACAUAGUGGCCAGCAUUAAGGAUCCAGUAGAAGUGUAAAUUCCUCAAGGAUUUGGUGAAUCCCUUUGUACCUUUCUCACCCCCACAGUACAAUGGACUUCUGUUCAAGCUUAAAAAAGUCUGUAUGCCUUCCCACCUGAGAGUCCAGAGUAGUAAAGGAACAAAUGACAAAAUGAGUGCAUCCUAAUAGAGAUGACUUGUACAUGUAGGUACUGUUUAUCAGAAAUCAGUGCCUCUUACUUUAGCUUUGCAACCCAUGCUUCGGUUCCUUUGGUUGAACAGAUGAGAUCAGCCUACAAUAUCCAACCAAACCAUAUUGUAAUCAUAAGCCACGGACAAAAUUAAGGAUAGGGUGUCCACAAUUACGGACAAAUUUUAAGCUAAUUUGAGGGGGGACUGGGAAUGUUUGCAGAAAAAACCUUACUUGUCCGCUGUAAAUAGUCACAUUGACUCCUUUUGCCAAAAGCUCAUCGACCUGUAUGCAACUUAAACGAAUAAACUGAGUGAUGGUUGAAUAGGUAAUUGCCUUGUGUAGGAUUAGGAAACUUAAAAUGUCAGAAUAUAUGAAAAUUCAGUUCAAGAACAUAUGUGCGCGUAUAGUAUUAUUUUAGAGUUCUAAUUGUGGAAAAUCCUAAUAAAAACUCUAGAAUCUUUGAAGAUAUUAGCAUACCUCAUUGAUCCUUGGCUUCAUGAAUUCUUCUGCAUGAGCCAUGAAAACAGACCCUGCCUGCCCUCCCCAUCUGCGAAAAAGGAGGGAAAACCCCUUUCUUUGUUUGCAGCAAAAAGAAAGUGUUUCACUAUUUACAUAUAAAGGGGAGAAAAAAAACUCACUGCACAUCUUCUGGGAUUAUCUUAAGUUUUUCUUUAAGAACGCCAUUCAUUAAAGUGUUUAGAUCCGCUUCACCGCCUGGCACAGACCUCAAAGAAGCCAAAUAUCUUGAGUUUCUUUUCGACUUGACUUUUUGAGAUAGUUCAACAGUUGUUGUGGAGAGAGGAUCAAGUGCAGAAUCCAAGAGGAAAUUGUAGAAAUCCUAUAUAUCCAGCAUAAUCAGUGAAGUUUAUAGAAGUAAUGUAUUAGACCGCUACAGAAGCAUAAGAAUAAGCACUGCAGAGGAUAAUAACGUACCAGAGAAUUACUGUACGCAUCAAUAACUUCCUCAAGUUCAAAAUAUGAAUUAGUUGCAGCUUCAUACUCUCCUUGAUCGAUUUGCUGCUUGAUAUUCUGAGUAAGACUGGUGUCCAAAAUAUUUCAGUGCAGAACAUAUAACUCACUCUAUAAGAUAUUGCAGAAAACAUUAACAGAAUAAACAGAAAUAAUGAAGUUCAAGUAGACAUUUAUUCUCACUUUUUAGCUUUCUCUACGCCUUUAUUGUCAAGCCUCGAAACAUCUUUAAGAAGGGGAGCCCAUGAAAACUGCAAGUACCAAAUUGACUGAGUAAGAGUUCAAUGCAAUAAUAAGAACAGAUAAUUCAAGAAGAUGUACCAACCACGAAAUCUUCUGGAGAGAGCCAAGUAUCACCCAAUACAAUUCCUACAGAUCAAAACUAAAUCAUGAAUACAUUCCACCUAUAAAAUCUAGGAUCACAUUUGAUUUUCUUCGAAAUUACCUUUAAGAUUGAGCUUCAAUGUUUCAGCUUCAAUAGCCUUUAAUGCUGAUAAUCCAAGCAGGACUGCCCAUUUCCCUCCAUAAGACUCAGCUACUACAUACAAAGGGCUCUUUUGGAGGACUUCAUCGCUGUUGAAAAGUGAAAUCAACAAUGUGACCAAAUCUGCUGGAGCCUCUUCAUCAGUCUUCGCGAAUAAGCUAUCAUCCUCAACAAAACUGUAUCCAGUCCCUACUGGAUUAUCCUACAUUUUCUCAGAUUGGAAGAUAUAGAUAUAAAGAAAAGAACUUAGACCAAAAAUAUAUUGAAGUACCGAAUAUCACAAAAUUUAUGCAGUUUAAUAUCAUCACAUACCACAAACAAGAGAUCAGCCUUUUGCAACCAUGUUGAGUUUCUUGGCUUGAGAAAAGUAUCCAAUGGCCCAACCUCCUGAAAAUUUCCAAUUUCCAACUCCUGACGCCCUCUAUUCAUAGGUACAAAGCAUAAAGACUUAACUUUUGUAUAUAUCACUACUUAUCAUUUAAUUUGAAAUGAACUAGAACAUUUUUGUGUCUAAACAAAUUAUGAAAGAUGAUUACUUACAGGUCCACCCUGCAACCACAGAAUUAUGGGCCAUGGGUUGUUUGGAUCUUGAGUCCUCUGUGGACUUUUGUAAUACCACCAGAACAUGUGAGCUUCUGUUUUUCACACAUUGCCAAACACAACAAUCCAUGAUCAGAACAAAUAUUAAUCUGAAUUCUGCGUUAUGGAUCUAGUGUAGUCUUUUGGGUUACUUACUGGGCCUGACUUCCACAUAUCCCCACUGUUCUGAUCCAUCUACAGUCCCAGCAGCCAUGGCUCCAUUGCUGAUAAGUGGUAUGAGAAACAUGAAAAGUAAAAACAGAGCAAAGUGGUACCUUCCCAUUUUCCAGUAUGCAAAGAUACCAAGAACCAGCUCAGGGAUGAUUUUUAAGUACACCCAUACACAUAUUUAAGUAGACUUGCUCCCAUACUGUAACUUUUGAUAUGGGAGUUUAUUCAACAGAAAUUAUCAUCAUAUAUAAUGGUGAAAAAAGAAUGUUCACGUGACAAAAUUCAUCGAAACAGACAUUUGAUACAAAGUCUGUCUUCUCUGCAAACGAAACAGAAUAUUUAUGGCAAAAACUUAUCAAUCCAGCCUCUAAAUUUAUUUCAAACACAAUAACACAUAUUGCUAAAAUGCAAAUAGUGAGAAAUAUCUUUAACAAACAUUAUUUUUCAUGUUUUAUUUAUUGGUAAGAGAUGUAUAAGAAGCCAGUCAUGUCCUUGACAAUAGUAAGCAUAUUUUAUUUGGAAAUCUUAUCUUUUGAGAAUUCAAGAUUUCAUGAAAAUGGUGACCAGUCUGGGGACAAACCUUACUCGUAUUGCAUUGAUAAUCUUGUGAAAAGAAAGCGAGAAAGUGAGAAACAUGUGCAAGGUGCAGUGAUUGUUACAUAGGGGGCCUUGUUUGAAAGAUACAUGUGUGGUGGAAAAGGAAUCGUAAAUAUGAUAAUAAAUGUUCUCCUUUCUUCAAUAAGAAAAAUAUGAACUACUUCAUGUCUUCAGCUGGAAAAUGAACUAGAUAUUCACUAGGCCUUACUGGAUUUAUGAAUCCAGUAAUUGUUGAUAUGCUUCAACAAAGGCACCAGAAGUAGAUAUUCUUAUGGACAUUGGUUCCUGGAAGGUAUCAAGCCUAUUUAAACAGGACGAAAAAAAUUGAAGAUCAGUACUAAUUUCAAAGUUAAGUUGCAAAAGAAGGCUAGAAAUGUGUCAAGACUAGAAUUGUAUAUUUAUUAUAAUUAUAAUAUAAUAUAAAUUUAGAAUUGAUAUUAUUAACGGAAUUCAAAACUUAAUUCUAUAAUAGUAAGUUAGAUAUUAAAUAUAUUAAUUUAUUAUUUAUAUAAAAAUUGAAAGAUCAAAACUAACAAUAAUAACAAGCUAAAUUUAAUAAUAUGAAUUUUAUUUCGAUGGACUUGAAUUUCACUUCAAUUAUAAAAAAAAAUAGAGAAUAAGCAAUAAUAUUCAAAGAAUCAACCAUAACUCUGAUCAGAUUAAGCAUUUGAUAUGCAAAAAAGAAAAAAACUAUUCAGUACAUAAUCGUGAUAACCUCAAGAAAUAAAUGUAGUGACCAAACGUAUACUAACAUUCUGUUGUUUGUACCUCCCAAGCUCAGCCACAUUGCUCAAGCAAGUAUCUGAUAAAAAAAAUAUCACAUUCAUGAAUUUUGUCAUUUAUAUAAAAAUAACAAACAAUUUUUAUUCAUCCUCCAGAUUAUUCUAUUCAUUCAGAUUUCAAUCAUCCAGAAAAAAUGGUCCAAAUUUAACAAAUAACCCUAAGAAAUCAGUCUUAUUUGGCAAGAUGGAAUCAAGAAAAGAGAACAAAGAAAAAAAUGAUCAAACCCCAACAACAAUCCUUUUAACAUCCGGGGAGCGCAAAAGUCACACUAAGAGUUUGCAAAUGUAUAUGUCUCAAGUUUCAAUACAUUAGAAAAGAACACCAGUCCUGACUCUGCAAAAGUUUACAAAUCUUGAAUAAAAUGUUUAAACUUAUACAAAUCACGUUCAAAACAGUUAACUGCCGCUGCUCGGACUUGGUUGAAAACAAGGUAUUCUUUAUCCAACAGGUGGCUCGCACCGUUCCUCCAAAAUUCCUCUGCAAAAUCUUCGUCAUUUAUUGCCUCUCGCCAAUUCAAGUCAAGAGUUCUACAUCUAUCAACGAGUUGGGAACAAUAGAAAAGAGUUACAGAAUUCAUCAUAAGGUAUCUUCGCGCUGAAGAAUAUCCUGAUGGGUGAAGAUGAACAGCUCUCAGCUCCCUGUAGGUGUCCAUAAAUAAUUCUUUCUUCUUGACCAGUUUUUCGACUGCUCUGACAUGAUGAGCUUGUGAGACAAGUACUUUGAUGUAGCCGAAUACGCAGCUAUAUUCUCCAACUUUGGUAAAGUACCUUAUAUAACUUCUUAGGAAUAUAUCCAUUUUAAUGAAGUCAUGAUGGCUUCCCUUAGACAAAAACAAUUUCACAAGCUGGUAAUGAACCAAUCUUGUCUGUGAAAAUCUACCAGCAGAUAAAUUUUCCGGCAAAAAGUAGGUCAAGAAAGAACCAACUUUACGGUCAGAACCGGGAACAUCUGUGGCAAGAAUAAAUUUUAUGUCGCAGAGUUUUACAUCAUCACAAGGAUGGGUAUCCCGUUCGACUUUUAGCCAUUUACUAACACUCAGCUGCGAAGAGCUGACCAGUAUUACCUGUGUAGAAGUAACACGAAUCAGGCUCCUUAGUAGGCUAGUAUACAUCUUUGUUUUUAAGUGUCAGUGUGAAGAAAGAUCAAAUACAAUGUGGUUUAGAAAGCAGGAUUAUUGUUGAUAAAUUAACUCCACUCAGAGGACAAAAACAAGAUUAAACAAUCAAGUUACCUUUCCGAGCAAAAAGCGAGCAGCUUCAUUUCCAGCUCCAGAACAUUUUAUUAGCAGACUGUUAAGGUGCUGAUACCGAUAAAAGUUCUUAAAUUUCAUCCUAAGGUCGAAGUUGACAAGCUUAAGGAUGUGCUUGUCUUCUGCAAACAAAAGAAACAUUUUGCAACUGCAACAAAAAAUGGACAAAGAUAAUUUAGGGACCUUGUGUAUGUAUAUGUACACAAUGGCUCAUUAUAUCUAUAAAAUUUGCAACUUCUCAGAAAUGCCUGCAUUUGAUUAAUAACAUAUUCACUAGAAUGGCUAAACAAAACAUUACAAAAUUGUAUUUAAGGAACAACUAAGAAGGUGGAGCAGGCUCAAUAUGCUACAAUUGUGCCUCGUGCAUGCUCAAAACAAGAUUAAAGAAAUGCAAACCCAACCAACACUUUUUUACCAAGAGGGCAGGAGAAGCUACAUGCGUGGCUUUCUCAGCUAUGCUACCUAAGUGAGCAUUGUCUGAAUUGUAAUUGACCUAUCAGGCCAUCACCCUUACAAACAUGAUACAUCUCAAAAAAUGUGGUAGACCACCAGAGGAUACCGACUGGGAAGAGAACCCACUCAGAUAACAAAAAGGGUGAUCAGUGAAAGCCUAAGGAGUCUACUUGCUCAACAGUAAAGGGUGGUCCAACCCCAAAUAUGUAUAAAUUCUUUCAUACAUAUAACAUUAAUGAAUAGAGUAAACCCUUUAAUUCUUUGUUAAAAGCUUUUCACAAAAAUUUGCUCAAUGCCUCUGUGAGCCCCAGAAAAAUCGAACAAACACAACUAGCUCUAAGUAAUACACAAUUUUUUUUUUGAAGAACUCUAUUUGACCAACACAGAACUAAUCUAGUGUUAGAAUGUAGAGAACAUGUAUGCGAAACUUAUGUAACCUCCAUUAAAGCUCUCAAAGUGUGUUUACACUUUACAGAGAAGAAGUAUAAAGGAACAUUACUUAAGAAAUAAGCUAUCUAACUGAAUAUAUCAGAUGCGUCUCCUAUAUAUAUAUACAGGUUGUUACUAUUUCUUAACUAACUCCCACUUGCAGUAUGUGAUUCUGCCAGCUGUGAUGUAGCUGAUGUGGCACCACUAGACGCUUCUGCAGUAUUGUUAACAUCUUGUAAUGAAUAAGUAAUUAUCAAGGAUUAUAAUACCGUUCCAUAAAACUACUAACUUACUCCAAUUUGGUAUUGUUAUGAAAUUAGGCAACCAAUCAGAAAGGUAGGAAAAAGCAUAACAAAAAAAUGGCAUGAUAAAUGAAUAAAGACAGUGGUAAAUGGAGCUUUAUAACAGAUUUACAUAAUAUACAAAUACUUUAGACUUGGAAGGCUUAGAACGUAAUGCCUUACACAGAUAUUAUCCUUGCAAAUGCAACUGCUCCGCCUGGUGACUGCACCAACAAAAGUAUAAUAUGAUACAGUAGCUCAUAGGGUAGCUGUUCCAUUGUUGCCAUUUCCUAUGCAGUUCAAGCUGGAAGUAAAAAUGAUUCAUAAGACUACACAUCAUCACAUUAACAGAUAAAGAGCACUUGCAUUCAGAAACUAAUACAAAUAUUAUGGCACUUCAUCGAAUAUCAUUCAUAAAAUCAUCACAUGAUUAAAAUCAAAAGCGCAGGAUAUGGAUCAUGUAUUAAGGUCUACAUUUUCUAAUAAAAGAAAUGCCGCUAAAUAUUUUAGACAUAUCAAAAAGAAUAGGUUUCAUAACUGCAUCAUUUUUACUGGCCUCUUUCUUAAAAGCCAAGCAUUACAACAAUCACAUAGCAGAAAAAAAAAGCAUAUCUAUUUUUACUAUACAUGAUAAAUGGAAAUUUAGUAACCUACUAAGUGAUGAAAGAGUACCAAGACAAAUACUUAUUGCCACUUAAAAGUUCUUUACAUGAUAGCCCAAACACUCUAUAUUAUAUCAAAUUAACACAACCGGUCUAUGUGAAAUCAUGAUUCUUUGAAGUCAUAUAUUUAGAUCAACAUAGAACUAGAACAUUCUUUUAGCAAAUUUCCAUUAGUCAAAAAUUUGCAUCAAUGCAGAUUUACCAACACCAUGAAAGAGGCAUUAAGGCAUUAAGACCUGAUUAUACUCUUCUUCUAAAAAAUGAUAUAGACAAGGACAUUGAAUAUGGAAAAUUUUAUUUGAAAAGGCUACUUAAUUUUGCAAGUACUAGAUAACAUUUAAAUAUGGUGGAGAUUCCAAUGCUUACAUACAACAUUUAAAAGUUCGACAAAACUUAUCCAUCUCUUCAUCAACACAAAAUCAAUAUAAAACAACAUCUGUCAAAUCCAAAUAAAUUGUGAUAUCAGAAUAAUGAAUCAAAUAAUUAAUAACUGAAUCACAUUGUAUACUCGACAAUAACCCAAUUAUUACAAUCUUCAAGGUAAUACAAGAUUCAUCAAUCACAAAAUACGACAAAUGAUAACAACUACUUGAACAAUGUAAAAUUGUUAACAUAUUGCCAAUAUAUAGAUAGUUUUUUUUUUGGUGGGGGAGGUUUCUCAAUCUUGAUAUUAAGAAAAAAAAAUUAAUAUAACAAAAAGAUUACACCUAUUGGAGGAAAUCUCUAAAACUUUUUUUAAAAAAGUAAAUUGUUAAUAAGAGGAAGCCAGGAAAUAAGAAAGCAUAUCCUUUUGUUCUUUCACUACUGUUAGAAAUUAUGGCUAUUCCUCAAAUUGCUAAGAUGAAAUGAUACUUGACGUGUAACGUUAGUUAAUUUACUUGGUCAGAGGAAGGCCGGGUAAAAAAUAUUAUCUAUGCCAAUUAAUAUGUAUUUUGUAAUAGUAACUUUUGAUCAAGGGCAACUUUACAAACUCUAGUAAAAAUAACAAUAAGUUUCCCAUAAAACUAUUGUCUAGACUUAAAAUAAGAUGCAACUUAUAUAAGUGCAUUAUCAUUUAUUCAACAAAGUCGAUAACAAAAUGUUUAAUGGAAAGUGUGAGGUUCCUAUUAAAUGACAUAUUCAGUGAAAAAGUUUACAAGAAGCACCACAUAAGGUUUUCCAAGAUCAAAUGUUUUAUGUAACAAUAAACAUGGCGCGAAGAAGAAUAAGACAGAAUGUUUGCUCUGACAAAACCUAUAGAGAAUUUGACAAAAGGUUCGCGGAAAUUUUUAUAGAAACAUAUUUCAAGAUUUUAAAUUAAUGUCAUGGCCAAAAAAAGAAUAAAAGAUGUUACAAUUACAUGAAGGUUUAUGCCAAUAUUACACAAUAUGCUUCGAAGACACCUUGACAUAAUGUUUGGAGGCAUACUGUUCAAAAUUCUUCAUGAUAGUAAACGUGGUUUGGAAUGUUUUAGUAUCAAGAAGUUAUAAAAUUGAGAAAAUGUUAUUUUUUGGGUCGGCAUUGACAAAAUGUUAUAGCCAACUAGAUUUUGUGUUUCAAAAAUUGGUCGAAAAAAGAGAUAAGGUUUUGUCAUACUUUACAAACAAGCAAGACUACAAUGGGACCUUGGAGAGUAAGAGGCAAUGUUUACUAAUUCUUAGAAGCUUGAAAGUUCAACAACCAACUAGUGAAAAGAAUUGAAGUAAACUAUGAAAGGAUUGUUUUUAUAAUAAUUAGAUUUUAGUUAUCUUUUUGUCUAUUAUUAAUUUGGAAAACUUGUACAGGUCACAUAUGAGUAAGAAAGGUGUCACCAGAGAAUAUUAACUUCUCACAUCCCACACAAGUUAAGAUUUAAGAAAUUCAUUCUUGCAAUGCUCUGUAACAAAUUAUAACAGUAAUUAAAUCACUUAGUUGUCUCGUUAUUUGUCCACAAAUAUUUGAAACUUGAAAUGUGUCAUCACCCAUAUCUUUCUUCAUUUUUAAUAUAACUACUGAUUGAGAUGAAAUGUUUGCUAAAAUAGUUAACCUAGCAUUCCACGCUACAAAUGUUUGUUUGAUAUUCAUAUACAUGAUAAAUGAAGAUAAUCAAAACAUUCUUUUGGAUUUCAACGAGCAUUGCUACCAAUAGUCUGAAAGAAAUCUUAAAGGUGAACCAUAUAUCCUAUCCUUUCAUCUGUGGGCAACUUAAAUCGUAAGAAUAUUUAUUUCUUUUGUGAAUGUGGGAAAUUUAGAUCAGGAGUACAUAAAGCCCCGGUCACAAUUCAGCUAUCAUUGACAUUGUCUUCCAAUCCAACCACAAACGUAAAGCACAUGUUAAAAUCACAACCUUUAACAAUAUAUUGUGCAUACAUAUUUUUUUGACAAGUGUAUAGCAUGCUCCCUUGAACACCAUAUUGAGGCAUAUCAGUGUAUUCAAGAUCCAAAAAUAACCAUAAGAAAAAACUAAUGAACCAAUCAAGUAAAGUGAACAUAAUCAAAGACAACUCUCCGAUUAAGAUUAUACAAUUUAAGACAUAACAAACAACAAGAGGAAAUAAAUGAGUGGAUUAAUUAUAAUUAAAGUGAAAAAGGAAACAUACGUUGCAACAACAAUUGAGGAUUUUUAUAUACAAAUAAAAAGAUACGAUCGCCAUCAUAUACAUAUUUGGCAAAACAGAGAUGGUGAGACCACAUAUAAGCACAUCAAAGACUAUCUAUGCUAUAUGAAUUUAUAAGAGACAUCACAUUCAAUAUAAACUAAUUAAAAAGAAGAUAUUAAAGUUUUAGUGUGUUACCGAGAUUAGCCAAGGAAAUAGAGAGGUCGGAGCUGUCACAAUUGAAAUGGACUCGAGAAAAGGGGAACGAUUGAAAUAUACGAAGCUUGGUAACAAGUAAAGAAAAGGGCAAUUCAACCAACAAAUCUAGACUGUUGAUAAAUCAACGGAUAAGAUUUGUCAUUACCCACAACGAAACAUUGCUGGCAAGUGAAAUUAUUAUAUUAGCCUUAUUUAAAUAUUUAAUAUUAAUAAUUUCAAUUUUAAUUAUUUUUAAUUAAUAAUUCAAAUUAAUUUUUUGAAAUUAAAUCUUAGGAAUAUCAUUUACUAAAAUAAGGAUACGAAAUACGAUUGGAUGAAUAUGUGUGCUUUUUUUUUCCCAUGUAUUUUAAUUUUUAAAAUAAAUAAAAGGAAAGUAUUAUUCUUAUGUUUAGCCAACCACUAGUCAACAAUUUGACGGAAAUGAACAAAAUAAUGAUAAGCAAAAUGAAUCAUUAAAAUUGAUCGUUGAGAGAUGAAUAAAAAUUCAGUGAAGUUGGAUUUUGAAAAAAGUUUAUCGAUUGACGGGAAAAAUCAAAUUAAAAAGAGCAAGGAUUAGCUGGGGUUGUGUGUGUGAGGGUAUAUUGUAUUUCCGUGUGCUGCCCCUGGCGGGGCCGUUAGAUUAGAUUGAAUAUAUGGCUAAGAUUAGUUCUCAUAUCUCACAUAGGUAUGUGGUUUCCAUUUGAGCACCUGCCUAUAUAUAUAUGCAUAUUUUCAUACACAAAUAUGUUGUAACUAAUAUAAUUUUAUUUGAAAUUUUAUCAUAAUUGAAUUUUGACGGAACCCUUGUUCAAGAAAUAAGAUAGACACUAAUUCAUCUUUUGAAUAAUACCCAUUCAAAUCAUGAUUAUUUAAAUUCAUUUUUUCAUCUUUAACUAUGUGUUUAAAAAAUGUCAAUAUAAACUUCAUUGUCGAAAUUUGCUAGAAAGACGGGAAUGGUAGGAAAAAAGAAUUCAAUAGUAUUAUUUUUUUUCCCAAAAUAUAUCUGUUCUUAUAUUGGUAAAACAUAUUUAACACACACCAAUUCUUAUUUUUACAUAAAACUUUAAAUAAAAAGAUGCUCUCAGACUCCACCCAAUUAUUUUCGAAAUUCACAAUUGCCACUAUUAUUGUUUAUCAUUAAUGGUGCAUAAUAUUAUCCAACAUGUUGAGCCAAGCACAUGGCUGAUCCAAUGGUGCCUGUCAACCUCCACAAACAAAUAUUAUCUAUCAAUUAAUAUAAUUAUCAAUUUGUUUGGGGCAUAUAUUAAACACUA